rnacentral:rRNA from 1 species
UACGUAGGGGGCAAGCGUUGUCCGGAAUCAUUGGGCGUAAGGAGCGUGUAGGCGGCUCGGUAAGUCUGGUGUGAAAUCCUGCGGCUCAACCGCAGACGGUCACUGGAAACUAUCGAGCUUGAGUCCGGAAGAGGAGAGUGGAAUUCCUGGUGUAGCGGUGGAAUGCGCAGAUAUCAGGAGGAACACCAAUGGCGAAGGCAGCUCUCUGGUACGUGACUGACGCUGAGACGCGAAAGCGUGGGGAGCAAACAGG